AAACUAACAAGGAUUCCCCUAGUAACGGCGAGUGAAGAGGGAAGAGCUCAAAUUUAAAAUCUGGCGGUCUCAGGCCGUCCGAGUUGUAAUCUAGAGAGGUGUUUUCCGUGCCGGACCGUGUACAAGUCCCUUGGAACAGGGCGUCGUAGAGGGUGAGAAUCCCGUCCAUGACACGGACUACCGGUGCACUGUGAUACACCUUCGAAGAGUCGAGUUGUUUGGGAAUGCAGCUCAAAAUGGGUGGUAAAUUCCAUCUAAAGCUAAAUACAGGCGAGAGACCGAUAGCGAACAAGUACCGUGAGGGAAAGAUGAAAAGAACUUUGGAAAGAGAGUUAAACAGUACGUGAAAUUGUUGAAAGGGAAACGCUUGAAGUCAGUCGCGUCCGCGGGGACUCAGCCUUGCUUUUGCUUGGUGUACUUCUCCGUGGAUGGGCCAGCAUCGAUUUUAGUCGCCGGAAAAGGACGGGAGGAAUGUGGCAGCUUGCUGUGUUAUAGCCUCUCGUCGUACACGGUGGCCGGGAUCGAGGACUGCAGCACGCCUUUUGGUCGGGGUUCGCCCACGCCACGUGCUUAGGAUGCUGGCGUAAUGGCUUUAAACGACCCGUCUUGAAACACGGACCAAGGAGUCUAACAUGCCUGCGAGUGUUUGGGUGUAAAACCCAGGCGCGUAAUGAAAGUGAAAAGUUGGGACUCUUUAGUGAGGCACCGACGCCCGAUCCUGAAGUUUUCUGACGGAUUUGAGGCAGAGCAUGUAUGUUGGGACCCGAAAGAUGGUGAACUAUGCCUGAAUAGGGCGAAGCCAGAGGAAACUCUGGUGGAGGCUCGUAGCGAUUCUGACGUGCAAAUCGAUCGUCAAAUUUGGGUAUAGGGGCGAAAGACUAAUCGAACCAUCUAGUAGCUGG
rnacentral:rRNA from 1 species